GACGAACGCUGGCGGCGUGCCUAACACAUGCAAGUCGAACGGAAAGGCCCUGCUCUUGUGGGGUGCUCGAGUGGCGAACGGGUGAGAAACACGUGAGUAACCUGCCCUUGACUUUGGGAUAACUUCAGGAAACUGGGGCUAAUACCGGAUAGGAGCUCCUGCUGCAUGGUGGGGGUUGGAAAGUUUCGGCGGUGGGGGAUGGACUCGCGGCUUAUCAGCCUGUUGGUGGGGUAGUGGCUUACCAAGGCUUUGACGGGUAGCCGGCCUGAGAGGGUGACCGGCCACCUUGGGACUGAGAUACGGCCCAGACUCCUACAGGAGGCAGCAGGGGGGAAUAUUACACAAUAGGCGGAAGCCUGAUGCAGCAACGCCGCGUGCGGGAUGACGGCCUUCGGGUUGUGAACCGCUUUCGCCUGUGACGAAGCGUGAGUGACGGUAAUGGAUAAAGAAGCACCGGCUAACUACGUG
rnacentral:rRNA from 1 species